ensembl:snRNA U6 U6 spliceosomal RNA
GUGCUCACUUUGGCAGCACAUGUACUAAAAUUGGAAUGCUACAGAGAAGAUGACCAUGGCCCGUGUGAAAGUAUGACAUACAAAUUCGUGAAGUGUUCCUGAAACCU